ensembl:misc_RNA Metazoa_SRP Metazoan signal recognition particle RNA
GCCAGACACAAUGUUGCAUGCAUGUAGACCCAGCUACUCAGGUGGCUGAGGCAGGAGGAUCCCUGGAGUUCAGGAGUUCUGGGCGAUAGUGCACUAUGCUGAUCAGGUGUCUGUACCGUUAUGCAUCACUAUGGUGACCUCCUGGGAGGAAGGGACCACCAGGUUGCCUCAGAAGAGGGGAGUGGGAAACAGCAGGUCAAAACUCCUGUGCUGAUCAGUAGUGGGAUUGCACCUAUCAAUAGCCACUGCAUGCCAGUCCAAACAAUGUAGAGAGGCCUAGUCUAAA